rnacentral:rRNA from 1 species
CUGGAGAACUGAGGGGGGCUGCUCCUAGUACGAGAGGACCGGAGUGGACGCAUCACUGGUGUUCGGGUUGUCAUGCCAAUGGCACUGCCCGGUAGCUAAAUGCGGAAGAGAUAAGUGCUGAAAGCAUCUAAGCACGAAACUUGCCCCGAGAUGAGUUCUCCCUGACUCCUUGAGAGUCCUGAAGGAACGUUGAAGACGACGACGUUGAUAGGCCGGGUGUGUAAGCGCAGCGAUGCGUUGAGCUAACCGGUACUAAUGAACCGUGAGGCUUAACCUUACAACGCCGAAGGUGUUU